GUGCGCCCGAGUUCCCCACAUUGCCGUUGAAGAGGAUGAAGUAGAGACCCUUGACGGGAGCCGUGAAGAUGCCUGUGGGGUGGAGACCACCGGAAUCUUAGCACUAAGUGUGGGAAUCGAUAAGUGCGUCUAACGUAUUCCCCCUGUGACAAACGGGGGUUCACUGGACAAGUGGGUUGAGGCGAGACGAGAUGUCGCUUGGUCAGAGAGGCGAUGACGUCCUACCUGUGUUGGAGUCGUAGCCGUUGCCCUCGUUGGUGAUCACUUUCCUGAACACCAGGGUGGUGUCUGUGUUGAAGGGGCCCAGGUGGAUCCACUCCGAUGUGGUGAACAACGCCGCCGCGAAGGAGACCGGCGCUUUGGCUGCACAAACACACCACAAAGAUGAGGUUCAUGUUUCAACUCAUCAACUGACCUCGUUCUGAACAUAUCAUCUUCUCAACUGACCUGCUUCAGCGGCGUCGCUCUCCAGCUUGUCCACACGUGCCGCCAGCUGUUUCACGAGGACUUUUGUUUCGUGUUCAAACUCUAUGCGCU